GCACCGCCACGUGAGAACCGCAGCCGCGAGAGCGGGAUAUCAGCCGGGCGCGCGGGCCAGCGAGCUCAGCGGGAGCUCCGCCGCGUGCGUGCAGCUCCGUCGCCGCGCGGCGGCGGGCUGGAGCUGCUGGGCUCCUUCCCCGACGGCGAAUCGAGGUCCGCUGCUGCGGAAUCAAGAUUCCGCACCGCCAAAUCGAGCUCUGCUCUGCCGACCCGGACGAGCGUUUCCCCAAUCGAUUUGACACAAUCUCUGAAUCAAUCAGCAACGCUAGCACACUCUGCUCCCCCUUUUGCUGCUGGACACCAGCCUAGCAUCUAUCCCAAAUCGUCAAGCACGAGGGCGCAACAGUCCGUUCAAGCAUGUGGCUCCGCUCUUCAUCUCAGCCUUGGCAUCCAGUUCUGCAGAGAUGGUCACCACCGUGGCCGAGCAAGUCGUAGAUGCAGCUGCUGCCCCCAUGUCGCGCCGGCUUAGCACAGCGGGUGGAGCUCAGCGGCCGCUGCAGAGAUCGGAGGCAAGCAGCUCAGAAGCGGCAAAGCUUGGAACGGCGGCGCAGUAGGGGGUAAACAAACAUACGAUGGUGAAACAUGCGCUCACAUGCCCACCGUUAGCUUGUAGGCAUGCCUAGCUUGUACAAGCCUGGCUUACCAAGUACGUUCGAUUCCGGCAUUCUAGCGGAGCCAAGCUAGAGGGUCCUCGCUGCAUUAGAUAAGUCUGGCUUAGUAUAAGUGCAUCUAGGUUUUAAUAGGUUUUGGUGAGUCGAUUGACAACAAUAAUUAAAAGACUAACAAUAUUAUUGAAGUUGUUAUGAGCAGAAAUAUAUUUGCAAAUCAAUUAUUGUCAUUAGCUCAUGUGAUAUAGAAUCAAACAGAAGACAAAUAUUAGUAAAAGUCAAAUAUAUUGUGAAGAGAAACAAGAAACAAGUGUUCAUGCAGUAAUAUUAAGAGGUUUCUUUA